GUAUAUUUUGGCUAUCUUUUUAUGCUCAAGUACUUCAGAAACCAGUGGAAAUGCUACUGCAGAAACUUUAUGUUAUGUCCCGGGCCUAAUUUAGAAUUGGCUCAAUUUUUAAAAUUGAGGUCAAUUUUUUUCCCUAGAAAGGGCUCAAUUUUAAAAAUUGUGUGGAAAAGCUGGAUAAGGCGUGAAUAGACCCGCCACAUGCAAAAGAUUUUGUCUACAUGGACAGAGUCCUCUCUGUACAUGCACGACGUCGUGAUGCAAAGCAACCAUAUAGUACAACACAUAACACAUCCAUAUGAACAAAACAUACAGAAUAAUUAAAACUUCCACUUUAUUCCCCACAAUCAAAUAAUAGACAACUUUUUCAAUUCACCUUAUUCUUGACAAAUAAAAUAUUUGAAACCUCCAUUUUAUGAAUUCUUUUAACAUCAUCAAUCAUAACACUGGAAGAAACAUUAACCAUACUUCAGUAUAAAGUCAUUUGAGGUAUCAUACAGUUAUUUAACUAAAGAACUAGUUCCAACAUCCACGACCAAAAUUGGUUGAUGUUUACUGAACUACUCUGUCACGCCCCAAUCCCGGCCAAUUUGGUCGGGUUCGGAUCACGUCAACAGACGCCGAACGGACAGCAUCUCUCCUGUCCGCCCAAGGCUCCAACAACUAGUAUAAUUAAGCAAUCAACAAGGAGAUAUGCAAUUAUACAAGGCUUGCACGAGGGCAAGCAACAACGGAAGCGAAAGCUCUAAGCUAAGCAUACAACCAUACACAAUAUUUGAUUACAUUUAAACCAAAUACUUGUAACUAAAACUAUUACAUUCAUUUUGCUUUCAUCCAUAUUUCUUUACAUUUCUGUCAUUCUCCAAAAUACAUGAUAUGUUUUCAACUGUACAAUUCUAAAUCAACAAAAUAAAAGUUGAUACAUAUAGGUAAAAGGAAUGACUAAUGCAUAAGUCCCGGUGGCCACUAGCUAUGGCGCAAUACCCUUGCCACGGUCCUUCGUCGCCCCGCUCGCGCUCUGACCUGUAGGGUUAGUAGUGUGAGAACUACAACGAAGUUCCCAGUAGGUUCGGCAACCGACCUCGCCGACUUACCCACUAGGUCUAAUUCAGGCAUAAGUAUUUCAAAGAAAUAGAAAGGUAACCAAUACUAAUGCUAAUACUAUGCUUGCAAGAAAGAUGUCAGUGGAUAUAUAAUCGAGCAAUAUUAAAUAUGCAUGCAUGCUUUUCCAUGAUUUUACUUUGGCUUUUAUCUAAUCUUACCGGUUAAUCUUGUUAACCCAAAUAACUUACAACCCAAAAUUCCUUUUGUUCGGGGAGGCUCUAAGCAUUACAAGACCCGAGGGACCGUCUUCGGGGACCGCUCUCCCCGUGGUGACAAUUCCGGAAUGCACCGCUUGAGGGGGAGCUACCACCCUCAAGCCAAGACUUAUCGCGAGUAUCGAUCCAAUUCCCACUUAGGGAAUGUAUAGCCACUAGUCACAAUGCCACUAUCAUAAUAGGUUUUUACCUAUUUAUUCAUGCCACUCUCUAGGUCAUUCUUGCCACAAUGCUACAAUUGGUUAAACUAUGUUUAACAAUUCAUCUCUCAAUGCCAAUCAUGUCUCUAAUAUCAAUGUCACCUUUAUUUACUAUUGUCCAAGUUCAAGUCUCACAUUCAUACAAGUUUAGGGUCUCAACAUACAUGUCCAUUAUAAUUCUAUCAUUCUCUAUGUCCAACUACAUUAGAAGUAUACAAAUGAUGUCUAAUCAAGUUUCACAUGUAAAAUUAUCCUACAUGCAUGAAUGAAGCUAUAUACAAAUAUGCUCAACAAGGUGAAAAUAGACAUAAAGGGGAAUCCGAUGAUUCCGGCGUGCACCCCCCACCUCAAAUAGUGUAGAAGGGUUGUAGUUCGACUCCCGGGAUUUUAGGAAGCCUCUCCAGCAACCUAAACCCAAAAUAAAGCCAAAUUAGGUCCUAUAUACUAGAUCUCAUACUAAACCUUUUCGUAACGUUAAACCGAGUGGACGAAUGCGUCGGGAAUACCCCCAAUUAGGUUUCUACACGAUCAAUUUUGAUCUAAACCCCUCUAAUGCAAAAGCCCCAAUUUGGGUGCCCUAACAAUGCCAUAUUCAAAUUUCUCCUAGAUUGAUCUCAUCUCUAAGCAAAUGAUAGCUUAGAAUCAUCUGGAAAGCUCUCUAAUACCAUUACCAAACCCCUAAAACCAUUUCUAGGGCAUCUACUUUGGAUUCUAACAAUCCACCAUGAGAGCACCUUGAGAAAAACAUGUUUUCAUGGUGUUCAAGGCUUUAUUACACUUCUAAAGCCUCUAAAGAGACCAAAACUCCAAAACCUAAGGUUAAAAUCCAAACCCUAGAGCUCUACUUGCAAGAAACUCACCUUGGCCAAGAGUUAUCCCAAGAUCCUUCUUGUAGGAGAGCUCCAAGAACCACCAAAGCCACCCAAAAUUCACUUCUCCAAGCUUCUUCUUUUUCUUCUCCUUCUUCUCCUUCUAGAGAGAGAGAGAGAGAUAUGAGAGGGUGUGUGUGAGGGAGAGAAUGAGAGAGAAGACUCUCAUAACCCUAUACAUAACCCAAUUGAUGCAUAAAUGCAUUUAAGCCCCUCAACUCUCAUCUCUUUGCACUGCCCAGACUGGGCCCUUUUCGGGCACGGGGACCGGUCUCUCUAGCAAGGGACCGGUCCCCGAGAGCAUCCUUUGCAGUUUACGCAGCCGGGAUCCGGUCUCACCCUGAGGGACCGGUCUCUCCUCGCAGGGACUGGUCCCCGACAGCAAAACUCUUAGGACUUAGCCGAUUUUUUUCUCUUCUCGCUAGCUGCGCGUACGGGAACCGGUCUCUCCUUCAGGGACCGGUCCCCGAGAGCACAAAAUCUGCAAUGGUGCAGAUUUGCUCCAGGUUGCUCUCCGAGACCUCCUAUAAUGCACUUUUGCUCUUUUUGACGCCUUCGGCCUUUUCGAAGCGUACCAGCCUCGCACUUUGGUCAUUUUGACUAAAGUUCGAUAUUCGUUGAUCGAGGUUUCGGUAUAUUACAUACUCGGACACAGAAGAAAGUCAAAAUUGGGCCACAUAACUAGCUAUUCGUCCUCACGACAAAUUUUGAGCUACACCUCGAGCGUCAUCUAUAAAAAUGGUGAGGUGAGAAACAUACGAAACAUCUCCAAUUGGGUGCGACUGACCGACAAAGGCGGGCCGUACCAACUGGUCAACGGAAAAGGGGGUAACAAUAAAUAUAAUGUAACAACUGGAUGAAUAAAUAUAAAGUGAAGUAUUGGUAACUGAAAAGAGUAUGAUAUAAAUAACUAGAAUGAAUAGUAAAUACUGAACUAAAACAAAGACAUGCAUCAACUGUGGAUAUGUUACCAGAUAUAUCUAUCCAAACUGUUGGUCUUGGAGAUCUUAGGUUAAUACUACGUCUGAGCUUGAUCACUUUGGUAUAUAACUUGUACCACAGGCUAGGCCGCUGUUGGCAAGGUCUAAGGUAUUGCCCCGUGCCAGUACGACACGGGGCGAUACAUAUCGUGCCCCUUAUUAGGGGCCACGGUAUAGGGGGGUCUCUGUUAUACCCCCCCGUGCCACUUUAAGACCCGCGCGAUACCCUUUGGUAGCGUUUGGUUCGGGAACAAAGGGGGAAAUAAGCCUUUAUUCCCCCUUUUGUUCCAAAAUGCUAUGUUUGGUUUUCGGGAACAAUAGUUUCCGGGUUCCUGGAAUAAGCUAUAAGAUUGGAACUGUUGUUCCACCUUUUUUUCUGGAACAAGCUUGUUCCCGGAUGAGAACAAUGUUAAUUAAAGUCUAAAUUUAAUUUUAAUGAUAGUAAAUCUUUAAUUAAUUUAAUUAAUAUAUUUAAAUUAUUACUUAUUACUUAAAUAAUAAAUAAAUUAAUUUAUUAUUUAUAAUUAAAAAUUAUUAAUUAGAUAAUUGUUAUUAUUAAUUUAUUAUUUAUAAUUAAUUUAUAAUUAAUUAUUAAUAAUUAUUAUUCUCAAGAAUUAGAUAAUCGAUAUUAUUAUUAAUUUUAUAUUAUUUAUAAUUAAUUAUUAAUAAUUUGAUAAUUAAUAUUAUUAAUUUAUUAUUUAUAAAUUAAUUAUUAAUAUUUUUUAUAAUUAUUAUUAUUUAUUAAUAAAUAUUAUUAUUAUUAUUAAUAAUUAGAUAAUCGGUAUUAUUAUUAAUUAAUAAUUAUUAAUAAUUAGAUAAUCAAUAUUAUUAUUAAUUUAUUAUUUAUAAUUAUUUAUCAAUAAUUAUUAUUUAAUAAUAAUUAUUAUUAAUAAUAACAAUUAUUAAUUAGACAAUCGAUAUUAUUAUUUUAUUAUUUAUAAUUAAUAUUAAUAAUUAUUAUUAUUUAUAAUUAAUUAUUACUAAUUUAUUUAUAUUUAUUUUUAAGUAAUAUUUUGAUGUUAAUUAAUUAGAUAAUAUAAUUUUAAUUUUAAAGUAUAACUCUUAUUCCUUUUGUUCCAAUCUAACCAUUCAAACACUAUUUACUUUAUUCGUAGGAACAACCCAAUUUUCAUCCAAAUGCAAAGCUGGUCUAGUUCCUGCUUAUACCUGAACUUGUACCUAUC
rnacentral:lncRNA from 1 species